rnacentral:lncRNA from 1 species
CAGAAACGGGGCAUUAGAAUCAUAGGAUCAGAAGGUCAAAAUCUGCUUUUAGGGCCGUACGUGCUUCAGCAUCCCUUUCUCUGCUCGGCCCCAGGCUGUGUCCUGGUGAGAGUGUGGGGCGAUGGGAGCGCCACGAGAGCCGCCCGUGAGGCUUCGGGGCUGUCAGAGCUGAGUUUGAACCCUGAUCCCACCUUGGCCCGCUGCCCGCAGCCCAGCCAGACCUAAUCUGGGGCUGUACACUGCCCACGUUUAAUGAGGUAUUGUAUACAGAUGUGUCUGACUGUGUAUAUGCACAUGUCCCCAGCUGCGGGUGUCUCGCACAGUGUUUGCAUCUGUCUGUUAGCGAGUUUGGGCAUCUGGGGCUCUUCCCCUCACUUGAUUAAAUAUCUGCCCGGCAGCAUGUUUGUGUAUCCGCGGAUCUUAUCGCAUGUGUCUGUGUCUGCACGUGGAGGUGCUCACAGCUGACGGCAUUUGUGUACACAUGGGUCAGGCCGGGCUGUCUAUGACACUUCUUCCACCGUGGGGACAAGUGGAGCGAUGGGGCAGCUGGGGGCAGCCCAGGUCCCCUGCCUGCAGGUGGGAGGGGGACCCCAGCCUCCUGCCUACGCGCUGCCCACCCUGCCAUUGCCCAGAGCCAGCUGGGGGUGUACCCUCUGGCUUGCACCCUCAGUGCUGGGAUGCCAAGCGUGCAUACUGGGAAACUCAACCAGUGGUGGAAGCAUCCCUGCUGGAGCAAGGCAAUCCCUUCUCUGCUCCCUGGCUGUGGGGGUGUUUGGCUGCAGAUAUUUACUGAGCAAUUUGCAUUCAAUUACAGCAGCCGGAAGGAUUGGGAGGAUUUUCCUUCUGGUUUUCUCUCAACCAAAGCCAACUUGUCCGAAGUAUGACCUAGGAAGCAUCUCAUUAGAGGGAAGCGACGUCUCCCAGACACAGUGCUCACAGAAGAUGCUCCCCAGGGUUGAGGGGUGCCUGGACCAUGUGUGGGGGGCCGUGACGAAUGGCUCAGAAAAGAGGGUGCUGUGA